UGGGGGAUAUUGCACAAUGGGCGAAAGCCUGAUGCAGCGACGCCGCGUGGGGGAUGAAGGCUUUCGGGUUGUAUACCUCUUUCGCUAUCGAACAAGGCCCGCUUAGGGUGGGUUGAGGGUAGGUGGAGAAGAAGCGCCGGCUAACUACGUGCCAGCAGCCGCGGUAAUACGUAGGGCGCGAGCGUUGUCCGGAAUUAUUGGGCGUAAAGGGCUUGUAGGCGGCUUGUUGCGCCUGCUGUGAAAACGCGGGGCUUAACUUCGCGCGUGCAGUGGGUACGGGCAGGCUUGAGUGUGGUAGGGGUGACUGGAAUUCCAGGUGUAGCGGUGGAAUGCGCAGAUAUCUGGAGGAACACCGAUGGCGAAGGCAGGUCACUGGGCCAUUACUGACGCUGAGGAGCGAAAGCAUGGGUAGCGAACAGG
rnacentral:rRNA from 1 species